GGCAGUGUAGUGUAAUGGUUUGAGCACUGGACUACAACUGGCAGCAAGGGUUCGAAUCCCUGCUCAGCCA